rnacentral:tRNA from 1 species
GCCUUCGUGGUACAGUGGUCAGCACGCUCGACGCGUAACCGAAAUGUCCGAGGUUCGAUUCCCGGCGAAGGCU